GGUUAUAAAAAAUAUCACAGCAAGAGACAUUGGAGUCCUUUGAUAAGGUUUGUUACCAUAACUAAGAAGAACACAAGGUAAAACAAGAGCAAUAUCUUAAAAAACUUGUGAACUUUUACACUUCUUGUUAAACGAGAGUUGAAGGAAAAUAAGUUCAUGAGAAUCAUCAACUACACUUAUUGUUAAAAAGUUAUGACUAGGUUUUUCUGUCAAUUGGGGUUUCUUUUUUAUUUUCACUGGAAAAAAAAGCAACGAAGUUGAAAAAACAUUCAGUACGCAACAAGCCUCUGAAACGUCAAAAUCAGAAUCUCUACCGCAAAAGUUUAUUGCUUUCUACACCAUUUUCUUUCUGACAGAGAAAGAAAGAAGAGAAAAAAAGAUAUAUAAAAGCAAAAAAAUGUAUGAUUAGCACAAAGAUCAACAAGAAAAAGAAAAAAAAAACUAUCAAGAGAAAGAAGAAAGCCCACCACACUCCAAACACCACCUUAAUCUUAUGGCUCUUAAAAAAUGAACGAGAAAAACAUAAUUACACAACACCUUAAAAACAGACCUGAGUUUCACCCGUGGGCAAAGAAAAGCAGACACAAACACAAAACACAUAGAAAAAAAGUAGCUAUAGAGUUGAAAGAUGUGGCUCAGUCACCAAAACUAGGGUUUAUCAUUUUUACUAGUUAGCUUUUAUCACACAUAAAAAACCUAGGGUUCUUCUAUCACUCUAAGCUCCCAAUCAUUUAUUUAAAAAAACUGUUCAUAUGAAUCAAAACUUAAGUUAACGAAUUUAGUAUCCACCGGGUUGGUGUGGUAAGUUACUCUAACUGAGAUACAAAGAAGCAUAAUAAUAUAUAUUAAAAAGUAAAAUAUCAUCAAAGAUUUUAAAAAAAGACAUAAACACCAAAUCGAACAAGUGAACCAGAGGGUUAAUAAUGGAAGACAUAC
rnacentral:lncRNA from 1 species